AAAGCGUGUCUGGGCACUGCACUGGGCAUCUCAAUGGGAGGGCUGCAGCAGGUAAUCAAUAUUAGUAGGAAUGCAGCAAGAAGCUGCAGGUAUAGACUCACUAGGGACUGCAGUGUAACCUUCAGCUCCUAACUGUGGAGCAGUGUGGAUAUGGUGCCAAUCGCAAGAUGUCUGCCAUCCAGCUGCAGGCCUCAGCUCCCUCUGCAGGUCCCCCAGCCGUCCGCUGCCCUCCACGGGAUGGAUACUGUCUAGCUGGUGGGCAGAAGGAGAUAGCGAGAGAGCCGGGCCCCAGGAGUAUAAACUCUCCGUGCUGCGGGAGGUCACAGGUGCCGAGCGGUGCCAACCGCAAGAUGGCCGCUCUCCGCCGGUCACAGGCGUCCUGGCCGAUUUACUCCGCAGGUUCUCCUUUCCCCCUUCUCCAGGGCACUGAGGUCUGUCGGGGGCCGGGGAGCGGCAUCCAGUCCGGGACUUUAUUAUGGAUAAUACUUGGGACUAUAUGCUCUGGAUUAUCUACACCUGCAGCGGUUUCGUUUUAUGGAUGUGGAAAGUGGAUUUAGGGGUUUCCGGACAAGUGGAACGCAAACACUACCCUGUGAGACGCAUAUGGAACGCUUGAGGCACUUCCGGUUCCGGCGGGAGCCGGCGGCGGAAGGAGCGUACGUCUGGGUAGUGGGACGGUAAACAGAGAUACAUCAGCUGUGACCACUAAUGAAUGGCUUAUAUAAACUGCCUCCUGGAGCUAUUGGGUCAUGCUUCUGAGGAAGGACUUUAUGUCCGAUACGCGUCAAGUGUGACCCGUGUAUUUUAUUCUGGACUUUGACCCUGGUAUCUGCGGAAUACAUCAUCGGCCUGGAGUUUUGAUCCUGCAUGCUGUAAGCCUUCCGGAGAGCUUAUCUGCAUUCCACACUGCUUUAAAUCUGUGGCGUUGGAUCCCUCUGGGUGAUAUAUCCGUGUUUUGAUCUAUGGAGUCAUAUUUACAUGCUGUUAUAUUUUAACUCUUCUGUAAGUGUAAUCUGUGGAAAUAAAUCCUGCGUGUUUUUAAGCAAUA